AGCGAACGCUGGCGGCAGGCCUAACACAUGCAAGUCGAACGACCCCUUCGGGGUUCUUGGCUCACUGGUGAGUAACACGUGGGAACGUGCCUUUAGGUUCGGAAUAACUCAGGGAAACUUGUUCUCAUCCCGAAUGUGCCCUUCGUGGGACAGAUUUAUCGCCUUUAGAGCGUCCCGCCUCUGAUUAGCUAGUUGGUCGAGGUAAUGGCUCACUAAGGCGACGAUCAGUAGCUGGUCUGAGAGGAUGAGCAGCCACAUUGGGACUGAGACACGGCCCAAACUCCUACGGUAGGCAGGAGUGGGGAAUCUUGCGCAAUGGGCGAAAGCAUGACGCAGCCAGGCCGCGUGAAUGAUGAAGGUCGUAGGAUUGUAAAAGUCUUUCACCGGGGACGAUAAUGACGGUACCCGGAGAAGAAGCCCCGGCUAACUUCGUG
rnacentral:rRNA from 1 species